rnacentral:lncRNA from 1 species
GGGGCUUUAUCCUUCUCAAGAGAUCAGAGGGGCUCAUGCACCUCCUCAAAGGACACCAGAUGAGUCAAGAUAUCAUUUUUCUGUACAGAGAUGCAAGUCACCUGCUGAGCACCCAGGAUGGGAUGGUUAUCACCAAGCAUCAUCAUCCACCGAUCCCUGAAGAAGCGAAGGAUCUCCGCUCGGAUCCCUCCACCAUCAUCCAC